rnacentral:rRNA from 1 species
AGCGAACGCUGGCGGCAGGCCUAACACAUGCAAGUCGAACGAGGUCUUCGGACCUAGUGGCGGACGGGUGAGUAACACGUGGGAACGUGCCCUUUGGUACGGAAUAACUCAGGGAAACUUGAGCUAAUACCGUAUGUGCCCUUCGGGGGAAAGAUUUAUCGCCAUUGGAGCGGCCCGCGUCUGACUAGCUAGUUGGUGAGGUAAUGGCUCACCAAGGCGACGAUCAGUAGCUGGUCUGAGAGGAUGACCAGCCACAUUGGGACUGAGACACGGCCCAAACUCCUACGGGAGGCAGCAGUGGGGAAUCUUGCGCAAUGGGCGAAAGCCUGACGCAGCCAUGCCGCGUGGAUGAUGAAGGUCUUAGGAUUGUAAAAUCCUUUCACCGGUGAAGAUAAUGACUGUAGCCGGAGAAGAAGCCCCGGCUAACUUCGUGCCAGCCGCCGCAGUAAUAC